rnacentral:rRNA from 1 species
GAUGAACGCUGGCGGCGUGCCUAAUACAUGCAAGUCGAGCGAACAGAUGAGGAGCUUGCUCCUCUGACGUUAGCGGCGGACGGGUGAGUAACACGUGGAUAACCUACCUAUAAGACUGGGAUAACUUCGGGAAACCGGAGCUAAUACCGGAUAAUAUAUUGAACCGCAUGGUUCAAUAGUGAAAGACGGUUUUGCUGUCACUUAUAGAUGGAUCCGCGCCGCAUUAGCUAGUUGGUAAGGUAACGGCUUACCAAGGCAACGAUGCGUAGCCGACCUGAGAGGGUGAUCGGCCACACUGGACCUGAGACACGGUCCAGACUCCUACGGGAGGCAGCAGUAGGGAAUCUUCCGCAAUGGGCGAAAGCUUGACGGAGCAACGCCGCGUGAGUGAUGAAGGUCUUCGGAUCGUAAAACUCUGUUAUUAGGGAAGAACAAAUGUGUAAGUAACUAUGCACGUCUUGACGGUACCUAAUCAGAAAGCCACGGCUAACUACGU